rnacentral:tRNA from 1 species
UUUACAAUCGUUAAACAAAAAGUUGUUGCUGUUUAAAGCUAUUCGCAACAUUUAAACAACAUAAAAACACCCCUGUAUGAAAAUGAAAGUGAUGUAAGUCUAGUUAAUAUUUAACUGAAAUCGUAUUAUAUCAGCUGAGUCUAGCGUCUAUAUUCUGUACUGGUGGCCAAGAAUGACGGAGCUCCAGUGGCGCAAUCGGUUAGCGCGCGGUACUUAUACAGCAGUACAUGCAGAGCAAUGCCGAGGUUGUGAGUUCGAGCCUCACCUGGAGCAGUCUUUUAGUGGGGACCAUUUGAUGAUGUGAGAACAAAGUGCCACUGUGUCUUUCCUGCUCUGGGCAGAGUGAUGAUGGAGAGGCUGUGUGCCCGCCAAGGGGAAGUGAUGUCAUUGCUUCGACAACAGGACAGCCAAUCAGGGGUGAGAGCUCGCCACGGCCACGGUCUCCUCCUCAUAACGGGCAACGGUGAGCGCCUCAGCCGUCAGAUUUUGAACCAGAGAGCACGGGACACAGGGCAGCCUCCGUCUCUAUGAGUCUCAGAGUGCAGAGGCGAGGGGUGACUGGAAAGGCCAUUUCACUCGGGCCCCUGCUGGCUGUGACCGGAGCCCGGGGAGAGAGGGAGCGCUGCACCGGAUAACGUGGGCGUUCCAGAACACUCCGAGAACUCCUUCACAACUGAACAUUCUGUAAAAAUAGGCGAGCCAAGAGAAAGAGAGAGAGAAAGACAGAGAGAGAGAAAGAGAGAGAAAGAGAGAUAUGCGAUGAUAUGCAGGAUGAAGAAGAGGACAUGGAGGAGAGGAAUGGGGGGAGGGUGGUGUAACAUCUCCACAUGAGUCUCCAUAAAGUUGUUUAACAGCACCUCAACGACGACGUCCGCCGCCAAGCCCUGGCUCAAGCCGUGCUCUCCUGACAAUUUGAGUCAAGCUUGAAAAAUGAGCUCCGCUCCACUUUAAGCUGUCCCCGUGGCAUCACACGUGAUUUUCACCGUGUUAAAGAAACUGCAUGGGAGGACUGAGGGGUUGGGGGGUGCAAUUGCAGGGAAACAAAUUUAAAUGUCCCAGAGUUCUCUGUGGGGACUCGUGUAACGGGGCCGUCGCAAAUCACACGUUAAUGUCUCCCAAGCUCAGUAUCUCUUUUCCUCUGUCAUGGGUCACAGAGGAACUUUUUAAAGAGAAAUAGGUGUGCAUACACACACAGACUUACAGACACACACACACACACACACACACACACACACACACACACACACACACACACACACACACACACACACACACACUCAUAUACAUACACAUACACAUGUAAACCUACACAUAUAGACAUUCAAACAUACUCCAACACACACACACACAUACACACACACAGAGAGAGAGAGAGAGACACACGCACAAAGGCCUGAUCCUUUCAUCCACUCUCCUCUCUUCUCAUCCUUUUCUCCAAUAAAGUGCCCCCCCC